rnacentral:lncRNA from 1 species
CCAGGAGCUGAAUUAUUGAAUUCCCUCCCUUGAAAGCGAUCAUGGAUCUAGCGCCGGAGGAGCUUCAGUUCUUGUCGUUGACCGAUAUCCUGAGGGAAUCCGUUGCAAUCCCUAAAAGAUCCCCCAAAACCUUCUAUCUUAUGACCUUAGCUCUCAUUUUCCCGCUCUCUUUUGCCAUUUUAGCUCACUCGCUUUUCACCCAUCCUAUCUUAAAUCAACUCGCUUCCGAUCCGCUGGCAGACCCGUCCCAGACCCGCCACGAGUGGACUCUCCUCUUAACCUUCCAGUUCUGUUACCUAAUUUUCCUCUUUGCCUUCUCUCUUUUAUCAACGGCUGCAGUUGUAUUUACGGUUGCAUCUCUCUACACGUCGAAGCCAGUCUCUUUCACUUCCACGAUCUCAGCCAUACCCAAGGUUUUUAAGCGUCU